rnacentral:rRNA from 1 species
CACGUAGGGCGCAAGCGUUGUCCGGAAUUAUUGGGCGUAAAGAGCUCGUAGGCGGUCUGUUACGUCUGCUGUGAAAACCCGGGGCUUAACCCUGGGCUUGCAGUGGAUACGGGCAGACUAGAGGCAGGUAGGGGAGAAUGGAAUUCCCGGUGUAGCGGUGAAAUGCGCAGAUAUCAGGAGGAACACCCGUGGCGAAAGCGGCUCUCUGGGACGGUACUGACGCUGAGACGCGAAAGCGUGGGGAGCAAACAGG